UACGGAGGGGGCUAGCGUUGUUCGGAAUUACUGGGCGUAAAGCGCACGUAGGCGGCUUUGUAAGUCAGAGGUGAAAGCCUGGAGCUCAACUCCAGAACUGCCUUUGAGACUGCAUCGCUUGAAUCCAGGAGAGGUCAGUGGAAUUCCGAGUGUAGAGGUGAAAUUCGUAGAUAUUCGGAAGAACACCAGUGGCGAAGGCGGCUGACUGGACUGGUAUUGACGCUGAGGUGCGAAAGCGUGGGGAGCGAACAGG
rnacentral:rRNA from 1 species